rnacentral:rRNA from 1 species
CCUACGGGAGGCUGCAGUGAGGAAUAUUGGUCAAUGGCCGGAAGGCUGAACCAGCCAUGCCGCGUGAAGGUCAGUGCCCUAUGGGCGUUAAACUUCUUUUGUGCGGGAGCAAUAAUGGUCACGUGUGGCCAGACGAGAGUACCGUACGAAUAAGCAUCGGCUAACUCCGUGCCAGCAGCCGCGGUAAUACGGGGGAUGCAAGCGUUAUCCGGAUUUAUUGGGUUUAAAGGGUGCGUAGGCUGUGAGGUAAGUCAGCGGUGAAAUGCCCCCGCUCAACGGGGUGAAGUGCCAUUGAUACUGCCUGGCUGGAAUGCUGAUGCGGUGGGAGGAAUGUGUGGUGUAGCGGUGAAAUGCAUAGAUAUCACACAGAACACCGAUUGCGAAGGCAUCUCACGAAUCCGCGAUUGACGCUGAUGCACGAAAGCGUGGGUAUCAAACAGGAUUAGAUACCCGAGUAGUC